rnacentral:rRNA from 1 species
UGAUGCGCCAUGCCGCGUGUGUGAAGAAGGCCUUCGGGUUGUAAAGCACUUUCAGUAGGGAGGAAGGUAGUGUAGUUAACACCUGCAUUAUUUGACGUUACCUACAGAAGAAGCACCGGCUAACUCCGUGCCAGCAGCCGCGGUAAUACGGAGGGUGCGAGCGUUAAUCGGAAUUACUGGGCGUAAAGCGCAUGCAGGCGGCCUGUUAAGUCAGAUGUGAAAGCCCGGGGCUUAACCUCGGAAUUGCAUUUGAAACUGGCAGGCUAGAGUCUUGUAGAGGGGGGUAGAAUUUCAGGUGUAGCGGUGAAAUGCGUAGAGAUCUGAAGGAAUACCAGUGGCGAAGGCGGCCCCCUGGACAAAGACUGACGCUCAGAUGCGAAAGCGUGGGGAGCAAACAGGAUUAGAUACCCUGGUAGUCCACGCCGUAAACGAUGUCUACUUGGAGGUUGUGGCCUUGAGCCGUGGCUUUCGGAGCUAACGCGUUAAGUAGACCGCCUGGGGAGUACGGUCGCAAGAUUAAAACUCAAAUGAAUUGACGGGGGCCCGCACAAGCGGUGGAGCAUGUGGUUUAAUUCGAUGCAACGCGAAGAACCUUACCUACUCUUGACAUCCAGAGAAGCUUGAAGAGAUUCGAGUGUGCCUUCGGGAACUCUGAGACAGGUGCUGCAUGGCUGUCGUCAGCUCGUGUUGUGAAAUGUUGGGUUAAGUCCCGCAACGAGCGCAACCCUUAUCCUUGUUUGCCAGCACUUCGGGUGGGAACUCCAGGGAGACUGCCGGUGAUAAACCGGAGGAAGGUGGGGACGACGUCAAGUCAUCAUGGCCCUUACGAGUAGGGCUACACACGUGCUACAAUGGCAUAUACAGAGGGCAGCAAGACCGCGAGGUGGAGCGAAUCCCAGAAAGUAUGUCGUAGUCCGGAUCGGAGUCUGCAACUCGACUCCGUGAAGUCGGAAUCGCUAGUAAUCGUGGAUCAGAAUGCCACGGUGAAUACGUUCCCGGGCCUUGUACACACCGCCCGUCACACCAUGGGAGUGGGCUGCACCAGAAGUAGAUAGCUUAACCUUCGGGAGGGCGUUUACCACGGUGUGGUUCAUGACUGGGUGAUCG